rnacentral:rRNA from 1 species
GAUGAACGCUGGCGGCGUGCCUAAUACAUGCAAGUCGAGCGAACGGACGAGAAGCUUGCUUCUCUGAUGUUAGCGGCGGACGGGUGAGUAACACGUGGAUAACCUACCUAUAAGACUGGGAUAACUUCGGGAAACCGGAGCUAAUACCGGAUAAUAUUUUGAACCGCAUGGUUCAAAAGUGAAAGACGGUCUUGCUGUCACUUAUAGAUGGAUCCGCGCUGCAUUAGCUAGUUGGUAAGGUAACGGCUUACCAAGGCAACGAUGCAUAGCCGACCUGAGAGGGUGAUCGGCCACACUGGAACUGAGACACGGUCCAGACUCCUACGGGAGGCAGCAGUAGGGAAUCUUCCGCAAUGGGCGAAAGCCUGACGGAGCAACGCCGCGUGAGUGAUGAAGGUCUUCGGAUCGUAAAACUCUGUUAUUAGGGAAGAACAUAUGUGUAAGUAACUGUGCACAUCUUGACGGUACCUAAUCAGAAAGCCACGGCUAACUACGUGCCAGCAGCCGCGGUAAUACGUAGGUGGCAAGCGUUAUCCGGAAUUAUUGGGCGUAAAGCGCGCGUAGGCGGUUUUUUGAGUCUGAUGUGAAAGCCCACGGCUCAACCGUGGAGGGUCAUUGGAAACUGGAAAACUUGAGUGCAGAAGAGGAAAGUGGAAUUCCAUGUGUAGCGGUGAAAUGCGCAGAGAUAUGGAGGAACACCAGUGGCGAAGGCGACUUUCUGGUCUGUAACUGACGCUGAUGUGCGAAAGCGUGGGGAUCAAACAGGAUUAGAUACCCUGGUAGUCCACGCCGUAAACGAUGAGUGCUAAGUGUUAGGGGGUUUCCGCCCCUUAGUGCUGCAGCUAACGCAUUAAGCACUCCGCCUGGGGAGUACGACCGCAAGGUUGAAACUCAAAGGAAUUGACGGGGACCCGCACAAGCGGUGGAGCAUGUGGUUUAAUUCGAAGCAACGCGAAGAACCUUACCAAAUCUUGACAUCCUUUGACAACUCUAGAGAUAGAGCCUUCCCCUUCGGGGGGCAAAGUGACAGGUGGUGCAUGGUUGUCGUCAGCUCGUGUCGUGAGAUGUUGGGUUAAGUCCCGCAACGAGCGCAACCCUUAAGCUUAGUUGCCAUCAUUAAGUUGGGCACUCUAAGUUGACUGCCGGUGACAAACCGGAGGAAGGUGGGGAUGACGUCAAAUCAUCAUGCCCCUUAUGAUUUGGGCUACACACGUGCUACAAUGGACAAUACAAAGGGCAGCGAAACCGCGAGGUCAAGCAAAUCCCAUAAAGUUGUUCUCAGUUCGGAUUGUAGUCUGCAACUCGACUACAUGAAGCUGGAAUCGCUAGUAAUCGUAGAUCAGCAUGCUACGGUGAAUACGUUCCCGGGUCU